rnacentral:rRNA from 1 species
GACGAACGCUGGCGGCGUGCUUAACACAUGCCAGUCGAACGGAAAGGCCCUGCUUUUGUGGGGUGCUCGAGUGGCGAACGGGUGAGUAACACGUGAGUAACCUGCCCUUGACUUUGGGAUAACUUCAGGAAACUGGGGCUAAUAUCGGAUAGGAGCUCCUGCUGCAUGGUGGGGGUUGGAAAGUUUCGGCGUUUGGGGAUGGACUCGCGGCUUAUCAGCUUGUUGGUGGGGUAGUGGCUUACCAAGGCUUUGACGGGUAGCCGGCCUGAGAGGGUGACCGGCCACAUUGGGACUGAGAUAGGCCCCAGACGCGUACGGGAGGCAGCAGUGGGGAAUAUUGCACAAUGGGCGGAAGCCUGAGGCAGCAGCGCCGCGUGCGGAAUGACGGCCUUCGGGUUGUAAACCGCUUUCGCCUGUGACGAAGCGUGAGUGACGGUAAUGGGUAAAGAAGCACCGGCUAACUACGUG